rnacentral:rRNA from 1 species
UACGUAGGGAGCAAGCGUUGUUCGGAUUUACUGGGCGUAAAGGGCGCGUAGGCGGCAAAUUAAGUCAGCUGUGAAAUCUCCGAGCUUAACUCGGAACGGUCAGCUGAUACUGAUCUGCUAGAGUGCGGAAGGGGCAAUCGGAAUUCUUGGUGUAGCGGUGAAAUGCGUAGAUAUCUGGAGGAAUACCGGUGGCGAAGGCGGCAUCCUGGACCGACAUUGACGCUGAGGAGCGAAAGCUAGGGGAGCAAACGGG